rnacentral:lncRNA from 1 species
GGCUUUUUCAUAUAUGAUGUAACGUAUUUAAUUUACAGACCGUUGAUUGCAUGUGUACAUAAAUCUUUUUUUUUUUUUGGGCAAAGUGUACAUAAAUCAUGCGCACGUAAUCCUUAACUUUGUAGCAAGUGCUGGUGAUCAGUGUGUCUUUUUCUACUGUUUUUUUUGCUGGAGUAUUAAUAGUUGAUCUAAUUAAGAAAUUAUAUUUUGUACAAAUCCCAAUCAUCUCUCAAAUAAAUAAAAACUACAUAACUAUAUUAUGAUCGAUUCUGUAGUUUGAAAAUAGCUCAUUUUGAACCAAGCGGUGGUAUUCUUGUAGUAGUCUUUCGGGGCUCCGCGGGCAUGCACAUCUGUUUUGAGUUUGGUUCUUAUUGUUGUGUUAGUAUGGGUUUGUACUUCGGUUCAAGUGAUUAAUAUGGUUCAUCUCUUAACAAUAGUCAAAAAGUAUUCAAAUUCGGUCAUACACUUCCAGGUUAGUCCAUUGUUUAACACUAAGCACGUUUCUCUCGUGGCCGACGGGUAGCCGAAAGAGUUUAUAAAAAAAAGCUCAUUUUACACGAAAACCCUUUUUAUUUUUUUG